rnacentral:rRNA from 1 species
CGGGAUUUUAUCUAUAUAGAAUCGGUAGGGGAGCUUCCCAUGGGCGGUGAAGCCGCCGGGCGACCGGCGGUGGAGCGCAUGGGAGUGAGAAUGCUGGCAUGAGUAGCGAGAGACGAGAGAGUAACUCGUCCGCCGUGAACCCGAGGUUUCCUGGGCAAGGCUAAUCCUCCCAGGGUCAGUCGGGGGCUAAGGCGAGGCCGGGAGGCGUAGCCGACGCGCAGCAGGCAGACAUUCCUGCACCGCGCACGCGGCGCUACGACCGACGGGGCGACGGAUGGGGGUGGCUCGGCGGGGUUCUGGACGUCCCCGUGAUGGAGCGCGGCCCGCGGACCAGGGAAAUCCGGUCCGCAGAAGGGCGAGGCUCCGGACGAAGCGACUGAGCGAAGCGAGUGAGCCCGAGGUCCCUAGAAAAACCCCUAGGCAGGCGCGUGCGCGCCCGUACCGCAAACCGACACAGGUGGGUGGGUAGAACAUACCGAGGCGAUCGGGUCAACCAUGGUCAAGGAACUCGGCACAAUGGCCCCGUAACUUCGGGAGAAGGGGUGCCCGCGCGUACGUGAACCGGCUUGCCCGGGGAGCGGAGGCGGGCCGCAGUGGAGAGGCCCAAGCGACUGUUUACCAAAAACACAGGACUCUGCAGAAGCCGCAAGGCGACGUAUAGGGUCUGACGCCUGCCCGGUGCCGGAAGGUCACGCGGAGGAGUUAGCCGCAAGGCGAAGCCCCGAAGCCAAGCCCCGGUAAACGGCGGCCGUAACUAUAACGGUCCUAAGGUAGCGAAAUUCCUUGUCGGGUAAGUUCCGACCUGCACGAAAGGCGCAACGACUUGGGCGCUGUCUCGACCAUGGACCCGGUGAAAUUGCACUGGUCGUGAAGAUGCGACUUACCCGCGGAAGGACGGAAAGACCCCGUGAACCUUCACUGCAGCUUGGCAUUGGCCGCUGGUCCCGCGUGUAGAGGAUAGGCAGGAGGCACAGAUCCGGAGGCGCCAGCCCCCGGGGAGCCGCCCUUGGAAUACUGCCCUCGCGCGACCGGCGUCCUAACCCGAGGCCGUCAACCGGCUCGGGGACCGUGCCAGGCGGGCAGUUUGACUGGGGCGGUCGCCUCCUAAAGGGUAACGGAGGCGCGCGAAGGUCCGCUCGGGACGGUCGGCAACCGUCCUUUUGAAUGCAAGAGUACAAGCGGGCUUGACUGCGAGGCCCACAAGCCGAGCAGGUGCGAAAGCAGGCUCUAGUGAUCCGGCGGCCCCGAGUGGGUGGGCCGUCGCUCAACGGAUAAAAGGUACUCCGGGGAUAACAGGCUGAUCUUGCCCAAGAGUCCACAUCGACGGCAAGGUUUGGCACCUCGAUGUCGGCUCAUCGCAUCCUGGGGCUGGAGCAGGUCCCAAGGGUACGGCUGUUCGCCGUUUAAAGCGGUACGCGAGCUGGGUUCAGAACGUCGUGAGACAGUUCGGUCCCUAUCCUCCGCAGGCGCAAGUGGAUUGAGGAGGUCUGCCCCUAGUACGAGAGGACCGGGGUGGACGGACCUCUGGUGCAGCGGUUGUCGACCAACGGCACGGCCGCCUAGCUACGUCCGGCACGGAUAACCGCUGAAGGCAUCUAAGCGGGAAGCCGUCUCCGAGAUGAGUCCACUCUCCGGUAAGGGCCCAGGUAGACCACCUGGUCGAUAGGCCGCAGGUGCAAGCGCGGCGACGCGCUCAGCCGAGCGGCACUAAUAGCCCGAGCUCUUCGCAUC